rnacentral:rRNA from 1 species
AUCAGUAGGGGUUCUGAGAGGAAGGUCCCCCACAUUGGAACUGAGACACGGUCCAAACUCCUACGGGAGGCAGCAGUGAGGAAUAUUGGUCAAUGGGCGAGAGCCUGAACCAGCCAAGUAGCGUGCAGGAAGACGGCCCUAUGGGUUGUAAACUGCUUUUAUAAGGGAAUGAAGUGAGUCUCGUGAGACUUUUUGCAUGUACCUUAUGAAUAAGGACCGGCUAAUUCCGUGCCAGCAGCCGCGGUAAUACGGAAGGUCCGGGCGUUAUCCGGAUUUAUUGGGUUUAAAGGGAGCGUAGGCCGGAGAUUAAGCGUGUUGUGAAAUGUAGACGCUCAACGUCUGCACUGCAGCGCGAACUGGUUUCCUUGAGUACGCACAAAGUGGGCGGAAUUCGUGGUGUAGCGGUGAAAUGCUUAGAUAUCACGAAGAACUCCGAUUGCGAAGGCAGCUCACUGGAGCGCAACUGACGCUGAAGCUCGAAAGUGCGGGUAUCGAGCAGGAUUAGAUACCCUGGUAGUCCGCACGGUAAACGAUGGAUGCCCGCUGUUGGUCUGAACAGGUCAGCGGCCAAGCGAAAGCAUUAAGCAUCCCACCUGGGGAGUACGCCGGCAACGGUGAAACUCAAAGGAAUUGACGGGGGCCCGCACAAGCGGAGGAACAUGUGGUUUAAUUCGAUGAUACGCGAGGAACCUUACCCGGGCUUGAAUUGCAGAGGAAGGAUUUGGAGACAAUGACGCCCUUCGGGGUCUCUGUGAAGGUGCUGCAUGGUUGUCGUCAGCUCGUGCCGUGAGGUGUCGGCUUAAGUGCCAUAACGAGCGCAACCCCUCUCCUUAGUUGCCAUCAGGUUAAGCUGGGCACUCUGGGGACACUGCCACCGUAAGGUGUGAGGAAGGAGGGGAUGACGUCAAAUCAGCACGGCCCUUACGUCCGGGGCUACACACGUGUUACAAUGGCAGGUACAGAGAGACAGUUGUACGUAAGUACGAUCAAAUCCUUAAAGCCUGUCUCAGUUCGGACUGGGGUCUGCAACCCGACCCCACGAAGCUGGAUUCGCUAGUAAUCGCGCAUCAGCCAUGGCGCGGUGAAUACGUUCCCGGGCCUUGUACACACCGCCCGUCAAGCCAUGAAAGCCGGGGGCGCCUAAAGUCCGUGACCGUAAGGAGCGGCCUAGGGCGAAACUGGUAAUUGGGGCUAAGUCGUAACAAGGUA